rnacentral:rRNA from 1 species
CCUANGGGGGGCUGCAGUGAGGAAUAUUGGGCAAUGCCCGCAAGGGUGACCCAGCAACGCCGCGUGGAGGAUGAAUGCCGUAAGGUUGUAAACUCCUGUUAGAGGGGAAGAAUAAUUCCGAUUGCAUCGGAACUUGACUGUACCCUCAGAGAAAGCCCCGGCUAACUACGUGCCAGCAGCCGCGGUAAUACGUAGGGGGCAAGCGUUGUCCGGAUUUACUGGGUGUAAAGGGCGCGCAGGUGGGCUUGAUAGUUAGAGGUGAAAUCCUGUGGCUUAACUGCAGAACUGCCUUUAAUACUUCAAGUCUUGAGUGCGGAAGAGAGAGACGGAAUUCCAGGUGUAGUAGUGAAAUACGUAGAUAUCUGGAAGAACACCAGUUGCGAAGGCGGUCUCUUGGUCCGUAACUGACACUUAGGCGCGAAAGCGUGGGGAGCAAACAGGAUUAGAUACCCUGNUANUC